CAUUUCCAUUAGUCACUCUACAGUCUCUUCUGAGUAAAGAGAAAAUGGGUUUCAAAGUUUUCUUUUUCUUUGCUAUCCUCUUCUUUUCAGCUGUCUCUGCUUUUGCAGAGGACAAUUCUGGCCUUGUAAUGGACUACUACAAGGACAGUUGCCCUCAAGCUGAAGAUAUUAUCAGAGAACAAGUUAAGCUUCUCUACAAACGCCACAAGAAUACUGCAUUUUCUUGGCUCAGAAAUAUCUUCCAUGACUGCUUUGUUGAGUCAUGUGAUGCUUCAUUGUUGCUGGACUCAACAAGAAGGAUGCUGUCUGAGAAGGAGACAGACAGGAGUUUUGGUAUGAGAAACUUCAGAUACAUUGAGACUAUUAAGGAAGCUGUAGAAAGGGAGUGUCCUGGUGUUGUUUCAUGUGCUGAUAUUCUUGUGUUGUCUGGUAGAGAUGGCAUUGUUGCUCUAGGAGGGCCAUAUGUCCCACUCAAAACUGGAAGAAGAGAUGGAAGANCAAAAAAAAAACCAACAAACAAAAAAGAGCACUUCAAAUUUCUUGGUUCUAUUGGUAUUUGAUUCUUAUUUUGUGCAAUUUGUUCUUGAACAGGGGCUCACAGUGUGGGAAGAACACACUGUGUGAAGUUGGUACACCGUUUGUAUCCAGAAGUAGACCCUCAGCUCAACCCUGACCAUGUUCCUCACAUGCUCAAGAAAUGCCCUGACCCAAUCCCAGACCCAAAGGCUGUACAAUAUGUUAGAAAUGACAGAGGCACACCCAUGAAGCUAGACAACAACUACUACAGAAACAUAUUGGAGAACAAGGGGUUGAUGUUAGUUGACCACCAACUAGCAACGGACAAGAGGACUAAGCCUUAUGUAAAGAAAAUGGCAAAGAGCCAAGAUUAUUUCUUCAAGGAAUUUGCAAGAGCCAUCACUAUUCUAACUGAGAACAAUCCUCUUACUGGAACAAAGGGUGAGAUCAGAAAGCAGUGCAAUCUUGCCAACAAGCUCCACUAGAGGACCUAGCUUUUGCUAUAUGGUUGUACUCAUUAUCACUUUUCCCCUUCCUUUGUAUAGGUGAGGGAGAGGAGACAGUGAAAAUGAUGGGAAUAAGAUGGUUUUCUCCCAGUGUGAGUCUGUUUUAGUGCAAGGUAGUAGUGGCAUGAAAUUGGUGGUCACCAUGUUCAUUACAUUCCAUGUUCUGUUUGUAAAAUUCACUGUUUUAGCUAUCCUUUAAUUUAAUUAAGUUAUGAGUUUUAUGUUA